CCUACGGGUGGCUGCAGUGGGGAAUAUUGGACAAUGGGGGGAACCCUGAUCCAGCCAUGCCGCGUGUGUGAAGAAGGCCCUCGGGUUGUAAAGCACUUUCAGUGAGGAAGAACGCCUGGUGGUUAAUACCCAUCAGGAAAGACAUCACUCACAGAAGAAGCACCGGCUAACUCCGUGCCAGCAGCCGCGGUAAUCCGGAGGGUGCGAGCGUUAAUCGGAAUUACUGGGCGUAAAGCGCGCGUAGGUGGCUUGAUAAGCCGGUUGUGAAAGCCCCGGGCUCAACCUGGGAACGGCAUCCGGAACUGUCAAGCUAGAGUGCAGGAGAGGAAGGUAGAAUUCCCGGUGUAGCGGUGAAAUGCGUAGAGAUCGGGAGGAAUACCAGUGGCGAAGGCGGCCUUCUGGACUGACACUGACACUGAGGUGCGAAAGCGUGGGUAGCAAACAGGAUUAGAUACCCCUGUAGUC
rnacentral:rRNA from 1 species